rnacentral:piRNA from 1 species
UAGUGAUCAACCAAGAAGACGGUGAGACUU